UACGAAGGGGGCUAGCGUUGCUCGGAAUCACUGGGCGUAAAGGGUGCGUAGGCGGGUUUUUAAGUCAGGGGUGAAAUCCUGGAGCUCAACUCCAGAACUGCCUUUGAUACUGAAGAUCUUGAGUCCGGGAGAGGUGAGUGGAACUGCGAGUGUAGAGGUGAAAUUCGUAGAUAUUCGCAAGAACACCAGUGGCGAAGGCGGCUCACUGGCCCGGUACUGACGCUGAGGCACGAAAGUGUGGGGAUCAAACAGG
rnacentral:rRNA from 1 species